rnacentral:rRNA from 1 species
UACCAGCACCCCUAGUGGUCGGGACGUUUAUUGGGCCUAAAGCAUCCGUAGCCGGUUCUACAAGUCUUCCGUUAAAUCCACCUGCUUAACAGAUGGGCUGCGGAAGAUACUAUAGAGCUAGGAGGCGGGAGAGGCAAGCGGUACUCGAUGGGUAGGGGUAAAAUCCGUUGAUCCAUUGAAGACCACCAGUGGCGAAGGCGGCUUGCCAGAACGCGCUCGACGGUGAGGGAUGAAAGCUGGGGGAGCAAACCGG